GACGAGCCACACAAACGUUAUUCGGAAUUACUGGGCUUAAAGGGUGCGUAGGCGGUGCGGAAAGUUGGGUGUGAAAUCCCUCGGCUCAACCGAGGAAUUGCGCUCAAAACUACCGUGCUAGGGGGAGAUAGAGGAGUGCGGAACUUAGGGUGGAGCGGUGAAAUGCGUUGAUAUCCUAGGGAACACCGGUGGCGAAAGCGGCACUCUGGAUCUCAUCUGACGCUGAUGCACGAAAGCUAGGGGAGCAAACAGG
rnacentral:rRNA from 1 species